UGGGGAAUUUUGGACAAUGGGCGCAAGCCUGAUCCAGCCAUGCCGCGUGCGGGAAGAAGGCCUUCGGGUUGUAAACCGCUUUUGUCAGGGAAGAAAUCUUCUGAGUUAAUACCUCGGGAGGAUGACGGUACCUGAAGAAUAAGCACCGGCUAACUACGUGCCAGCAGCCGCGGUAAUACGUAGGGUGCAAGCGUUAAUCGGAAUUACUGGGCGUAAAGCGUGCGCAGGCGGUUUUGUAAGACAGAGGUGAAAUCCCCGGGCUCAACCUGGGAACUGCCUUUGUGACUGCAAGGCUUGAGUGCGGCAGAGGGGGAUGGAAUUCCGCGUGUAGCAGUGAAAUGCGUAGAUAUGCGGAGGAACACCGAUGGCGAAGGCAAUCCCCUGGGCCUGCACUGACGCUCAUGCACGAAAGCGUGGGGAGCAAACAGGAUUAGAUACCCUGGUAGUCCACGCCCUAAACGAUGUCAACUGGUUGUUGGGAAGGUUCCUUCUCAGUAACGUAGCUAACGCGUGAAGUUGACCGCCUGGGGAGUACGGCCGCAAGGUUGAAACUCAAAUGAAUUGACGGGGUCA
rnacentral:rRNA from 1 species